rnacentral:rRNA from 1 species
ACUCAAAGGAAUAGACGGGGGCCCGCACAAGCAGUGGAGUAUGUGGUUUAAUUCGAAGCAACGCGAAGAACCUUACCAGGGCUUGACAUCCAACUAACGAAGCAGAGAUGCAUUAGGUGCCCUUCGGGGAAAGUUGAGACAGGUGGUGCAUGGUUGUCGUCAGCUCGUGUCGUGAGAUGUUGGGUUAAGUCCCGCAACGAGCGCAACCCUUACCUUUAGUUGCUACGCAAGAGCACUCUGGAGGGACUGCCGUUGACAAAACGGAGGAAGGUGGGGACGACGUCAAAUCAUCAUGCCCCUUAUGUCCUGGGCUACACACGUACUACAAUGGCGAGGGACAAAGCGAAGCAAGACAGUGAUGUGGAGCCAAUCGCAAAAACUCGUCUCAGUUCGGAUCGCAGGCUGCAACCCGCCUGCGUGAAGUUGGAAUUGCUAGUAAUCGCGGAUCAGCAUGCCGCGGUGAAUACGUUCCCGGGCCUUGCACACACCGCCCGU